GACAGAGGUGCCGAGCGUUAGGCGGAAUCACUGGGCUUAAAGCGUGUGUAGGCGGAUGGGUAAGUACCUUGUGAAAUCCCACGGCUCAACCGUGGAACUGCUCGGUAUACUGCUCGUCUUGAGCCAACUAGGGGCGACCGGAACAAACGGUGGAGCGGUGAAAUGCGUAGAUAUCGUUUGGAACGCCGAUGGUGAAAACAGGUCGCUGGGGUUGUGCUGACGCUGAGACACGAAAGUCAGGGGAGCGAACGGG
rnacentral:rRNA from 1 species